rnacentral:rRNA from 1 species
GUCAAUGGCCAUACCACCCUGAAGGAGGCCAAUCUCAUCUGAUCUCAGAAGCUAAGCAGGGUGGGGCCUGGUGAGUACUUGGAUGGGAGACUUCAUCAGGUGGCAAAGUCUCCCAGAUA